UUGGUUGUACUAGUAAUGCAAAACCAGGAUCUCGCAAAUCCAUUCACAAAAAUUUAUAUCUGAUCUGAUAUAAAAAACUGAAUUUUCAGAUUGGCAACCUUUAACUUGCUAAGAAAUGAAGUUACCUGGGAUUACAUUUCCUAUUGUAUUAGGCGCUUUUCAAAUACUGAUUCUUGGUUUAUUUGGAGGAUAUGUUUUUUACCAGGAUUCAGUUGGUUCUACAAUAUCGAAUUACUAUGCUGAGUUUCAAGACAUCCAUGUCAUGAUGUUUGUUGGUUUCGGC
rnacentral:lncRNA from 1 species